GGGAAACACAAAUGUUUAGAAAGGUUGGCUUAUAUCGUCUUGUUGCUGCUUAUUUUGGCUUUGGUUCCUGAGCUAAUAUGUGCCUACACAACUCAAGUUUCAUAUCUUCACCAGGAUAAUGUGGGAACCCUCAACAUCAUUGCUCAUGGUCUGUGCUUGAACUUGGACAAUUAUGAAAGUGAUGAAUUCUCUAGUAAGGGAUGCAAUCAGAGAGAAUCAUGGGGUGUAACUGUACUUUCCAAAGCCAUACACUUUGCAGAGUAACUGAAAUGUACAAUUCAUUGUUGUGAAAACCGAAUCAGACCAGUUGAUUCAAUCGGUUUAAUCGGAGUGGGAUCAGUGAUCAAUUCAGUUUUUAUAUGAAAUCCUUGUUGCUGCAAAUCGGAGUUGAACUGGUGGAUCCGGCUAAAUAAUCGACGAACAAGUCAG
rnacentral:misc_RNA from 1 species